rnacentral:pre_miRNA from 1 species
GAUGUACUCCCUCCGUUCGGAAUUACUUGUCGCAGAAAUGGAUGUAUCUAGACAUAUUUUAGUUCUACAUACAUCCAUUUCCGAGACAAGUAAUUCCGAACGGAGGGAGUAUAUC